rnacentral:sRNA from 1 species
GCCAGGCAUGGUGGUGCUUGCCUGUAAUCCCAGCGGCUCAGGAGGCUGAGACAGGAGGAUCAUGAGUUCAAAGCCAGCCUCAGCAACUUAGGGAGGCGCUAAGCAACUCAGUGAGACCCUGUCUCUA